UACGGAGGGAGCUAGCGUUAUUCGGAAUUACUGGGCGUAAAGCGCACGUAGGCGGAUAUUUAAGUCAGGGGUGAAAUCCCGGGGCUCAACCCCGGAACUGCCUUUGAUACUGGGUAUCUCGAGUCCGAGAGAGGUGAGUGGAAUUCCGAGUGUAGAGGUGAAAUUCGUAGAUAUUCGGAGGAACACCAGUGGCGAAGGCGGCUCACUGGCUCGGUACUGACGCUGAGGUGCGAAAGCGUGGGGAGCAAACAGG
rnacentral:rRNA from 1 species